rnacentral:rRNA from 1 species
AGAGAGAGACAUGCGCGCAUAUCAAUAAGCGGAGGAAAAGAAACUAACAAGGAUUCCCUUAGUAACGGCGAGUGAAGCGGGAAGAGCUCAAAUUUGAAAUCUUCAAGGUUCUACCUUGACGAAUUGUAGUUUAUAGAAGUGUUUUCUGUUAGUGGAGUGGCAAAAGUUCUUUGGAAUAGGACAUCAUAGAGGGUGAGAAUCCCGUAUUUGGUCAUUCCUCCUAGCGUUGUGAUACACUUUCAACGAGUCGGAUUGUUUGGGAAUGCAGUCCAAGAUGGGUGGUAAAUUUCAUCUAAAGCUAAAUAUUGGCGAGAGACCGAUAGCGAACAAGUACCGUGAGGGAAAGAUGAAAAGAACUUUGAAAAGAGAGUUAAACAGUACGUGAAAUUGUCAAAAGGGAAGCGUUUGACACCAGUGUUGUUUUUCCGAAAAUCAAUUACGAAUGUUUUGUUUUUGAGGAGUUAUGACUUCAUCGGCUUGCUCCUUUCUUUACGAAACUUCUUAAUGCUACUUUUCGGUUAACAAGUCAACAUCAAUUUCUUUUGUUGUAAAAGGGUAUGAGGAAGGUGGCUUUCUUUUCGGAGAAAGUGUUUAUAGCCUUGUAGCCUCUGCAAUCGGAGAGAUUGAGGUCUGCAGCGUAGAUCCUUCGGGGUUAGAUACAUUUGUGCUAAGUUAUAGCUUUUCAUAGACAACUUGUUGACUAUGUUUAGUCUUGUAGCUUACUCGCUUAUGCUAUUUUACCUACGCUUAGGAUGUUGAUAGUCACAGCGUGUAC